UGCAGUCGAACGGUAACAGGUCUUCGGACGCUGACGAGUGGCGAACGGGUGAGUAAUACAUCGGAACGUGCCCAGUCGUGGGGGAUAACUACUCGAAAGAGUAGCUAAUACCGCAUACGAUCUGAGGAUGAAAGCGGGGGACCUUCGGGCCUCGCGCGAUUGGAGCGGCCGAUGGCAGAUUAGGUAGUUGGUGGGAUAAAAGCUUACCAAGCCGACGAUCUGUAGCUGGUCUGAGAGGACGACCAGCCACACUGGGACUGAGACACGGCCCAGACUCCUACGGGAGGCAGCAGUGGGGAAUUUUGGACAAUGGGCGAAAGCCUGAUCCAGCAAUGCCGCGUGCAGGAUGAAGGCCUUCGGGUUGUAAACUGCUUUUGUACGGAACGAAAAAGCUCCUUCUAAUACAGGGGGCCCAUGACGGUACCGUAAGAAUAAGCACCGGCUAACUACGUGCCAGCAGCCGCGGUAAUACGUAGGGUGCGAGCGUUAAUCGGAAUUACUGGGCGUAAAGCGUGCGCAGGCGGUUAUGUAAGACAGAUGUGAAAUCCCCGGGCUCAACCUGGGAACUGCAUUUGUGACUGCAUGGCUAGAGUACGGUAGAGGGGGAUGGAAUUCCGCGUGUAGCAGUGAAAUGCGUAGAUAUGCGGAGGAACACCGAUGGCGAAGGCAAUCCCCUGGACCUGUACUGACGCUCAUGCACGAAAGCGUGGGGGAGCAAACAGGAUUAGAUACCCUGGUAGUCCACGCCCUAAACGAUGUCAACUGGUUGUUGGGAAUUA
rnacentral:rRNA from 1 species